UUAAUUAUUGUUUUUGAUUUUUUUUUAGAAAAAAAAUCUUAUUUAGGUUUAAAUUUUAGCUUAAAUAAUUUUAUUUUUUAGUUUUUUCUUUAGUAUCGAUUAAACGUUCCAGAAGAUUCGGCUACACGUUUUUAAUAUUUAACUUCUUACUUUUUUUAAUUUUUUGAUUCUUUAAAUUUGUUUUUAAGUUUAUUUUGUUUAAAAUUUAUCUAGUUUUUUUAAUUCAGAAAAUUUUAAAAUUGUUUAGAGAGACCCAGAUUAGUCCCUGGUUAUUAAAAUUUAAUAUUUCUUCUUGAGUAAAGUUAUAUUUAAAAAGAAUAAAUUAAGUUGGAAAAAGUAAUUAAUUUUUGGAACUUGGUAAUUAAUUGGAGGUCCCUCUUUUUUAGCUAGUAAUUUUUUUUUUUGUAUGAUUGUCUUGAUUUUCUUUGUUAGAUUUUAUUUCUAUUAAUAGUUUUAUUGUAGAUAAAUAUAGAGAAUAUUUAUUAGUUAGGCUGAGUUACUUUUUUUUAUAAAUUUUGGAUUAUUUUUGUAAGGGGGUAUGAAAUCGGAAAAAAAAGUAUGAAGAAGUUAAUUUUUUUUUGAAUUUUUAUUAUUUUUAGUACUAAUUGUCCAUCAAUACCUAUUAAUUUAGGUGUAAGUUGUAGUAAGGUAGAUUUGUGAGAACUUAAAUCUUA
rnacentral:ncRNA from 1 species